rnacentral:rRNA from 1 species
AAAGGUAGCAAUACCGAGUAGAGUGGCGCACGGGUGAGUAACACGUAGCUAACUUCCCCUCUCGCUGGGGACAACUCCGGGAAACCGGAGCUAAUACCGAAUGAUCUGAUCGAAUCUGCGGAUUUGAUCGGUAAAGCCUUUGGGCGCGAGAGGAUAGGGCUGCGGCCUAUUAACUUGUUGGUAGGGUAAUGGCCUACCAAGGUGACGAUAGGUAGCUGGUCUGAGAGGACGACCAGCCACACUGGAACUGACACACGGUCCAGACUCCCACGGGAGGCAGCAGUUGGGAAUAUUGGACAAUGGGCGCAAGCCUGAUCCAGCCAUGCCGCGUGAGGGAUGAAGGCUUUCGGGUCGUAAACCUCUUUUAGCAGGGACAAAGGGAAACUUGAUGGUACCUGCAGAAAAAGCACCGGCUAACUCCGUGCCAGCAGCCGCGGUAAUACGGAGGGUGCAAGCGUUGUUCGGAAUUAUUGGGCGUAAAGCGCGUGUAGGCGGCUUUCUAAGUCUGGUGUGAAAUCCCGGAGCUUAACUCCGGAACUGCACUGGAUACUGGAAAGCUAGAGGGCGAGAGAGGAUGGUGGAAUUCCUGGUGUAGGGGUGAAAUCCGUAGAUAUCAGGAGGAACAUCAGUGGCGAAGGCGGCCAUCUGGCUCGCACCUGACGCUGAGACGCGAAAGCGUGGGGAGCAAACAGGAUUAGAUACCCUGGUAGUCCACGCCCUAAACGAUGGAUACUAGACGUUGGGGAGCCUAAUCUCCUCGGUGUCGUAGCUAACGCAUUAAGUAUCCCGCCUGGGAAGUACGGUCGCAAGAUUAAAACUC